rnacentral:rRNA from 1 species
GAUGAACGCUAGCGGCAGGCCUAACACAUGCAAGUCGAGGGGCAGCACGAUAAAGCUUGCUUUAUUGGUGGCGACCGGCGCACGGGUGCGUAACGCGUAUGCAACCUACCCUGUACUGGGGGAUAACCCGGAGAAAUUCGGACUAAUACCCCAUAGUAAUAUACUUUCGCAUGUUAGUAUAUUUAAAGGUUACGGUACAGGAUGGGCAUGCGUCCUAUUAGUUAGAUGGUGAGGUAACGGCUCACCAUGGCGAUGAUAGGUAGGGGGCCUGAGAGGGUGGUCCCCCACACUGGUACUGAGACACGGACCAGACUCCUACGGGAGGCAGCAGUGAGGAAUAUUGGUCAAUGGGCGCAAGCCUGAACCAGCCAUGCCGCGUGCAGGAAGAAUGCCCUAUGGGUUGUAAACUGCUUUUAUUUGGGAAUAAACCCAGGGUCGUGCACCCUGGCUGAAGGUACCAAAUGAAUAAGCACCGGCUAACUCCGUG